ACUAAAAAUGCUGUUACUGUGCUCACUUCAUCAGCACAUAUACUAAAACUGGAACAACACAGAGAAGAUUAGCAUGGCCUGUGACACACAAAU